rnacentral:rRNA from 1 species
UACGAAGGGGGCGAGCGUUGUUCGGAAUUACUGGGCGUAAAGGGCGCGCAGGCGGCUCUGAAAGUCAGAUGUGAAAGCCCCGGGCUUAACUCGGAACGGCCAAGUGAAACUGUCAAGCUAGAGUGCAGAAGGGGCAAUCGGAAUUCUUGGUGUAGCGGUGAAAUGCGUAGAUAUCAAGAGGAACACCUGAGGUGAAGACGGGUUGCUGGGCUGACACUGACGCUGAGGCGCGAAAGCCAGGGGAGCAAACGGG